rnacentral:misc_RNA from 1 species
GAUGAAGAACGUAGCGAAAUGCGAUAAGUAGUGUGAAUUGCAGAAUUCAGUGAAUCAUCGAAUCUUUGAACGCACAUUGCGCCUCCUGGUAUUCCAGGGAGCAUGCCUGUUCGAGCGUCAUUUAACCCCUCAAGCCUAGCUUGGUAUUGGGUGCUUGUCCCGCCUCUCGCGCGGCGACUCACCUCAAAGUCAUUGGCAGCCCGCAUCUCGCCGGCCGUGAGCGCAGCACAGACGCGCUCUUGGCAACGACGGAUCGGCUCUCCAAAAGCUUAUUUCAACCACUGACCUCGGAUCAGGUAGGGAUACCCGCUGAACUUAAGCAUAUCAAUAAGCGGAGGA